rnacentral:rRNA from 1 species
GACGUAGGGGGCAAGCGUUGUCCGGAAUUAUUGGGCGUAAAGCGCUUGUAGGCGGCCCGUCAAGUCGCGUGUGAAAUCCCCAGGCUUAACCUGGGAAGUGCGCGCGAAACUGACGAGCUUGAGUGCCGGAGAGGGUCGCGGAAUUCCCGGUGUAGAGGUGAAAUUCGUAGAUAUCGGGAGGAACACCAGUGGCGAAGGCGGCGACCUGGACGGACACUGACGCUGAGACGCGAAAGCGUGGGGAGCAAACAGG